rnacentral:misc_RNA from 1 species
GUAUUAAUUUUCUGCCUUGCGGCAAGUAAACAUUCGUAUAACAUUAAAGAGUUUGUUUUGUGUUUAACAAAGUCCUGAUAUCCCCUCUAUCCAGCGCUCAGUUGCCUGAUUGCCAUCCAGAAAACAACACAGAACCUUGAAAAGUGUGCACAGGUGUAUAUGGAUUUAAGAGAAGCGAGCACAUUCGAGUAAACGACAGCAUCAACUCCUCUAUAAUUCGUUAAUGAUCCUUCCGCAGGUUCACCUACGGAAA